rnacentral:sRNA from 1 species
AUGUACCACGCGUCCACUGUGGUUCUGAGCGCGCCAUCCGCGCCCACUUGAAAGCCGCUCGCGACGGGUUGUUGGCC